rnacentral:rRNA from 1 species
UCCGUAGGCGGGCUAAUAAGUCAGGGGUGAAAUCCCACAGCUUAACUGUGGAACUGCCUUUGAUACUGUUAGUCUUGAGUUAUAUGGAAGUAGAUAGAAUGUGUAGUGUAGCGGUGAAAUGCAUAGAUAUUACACAGAAUACCGCUUGCGAAGGCAGUCUACUACGUAUAUACUGACGCUAAUGGACGAAAGCGUGGGGAGCGAACAGGAUUAGAUACCCUGGUAGUCC